AGUGAACGCUGGCGGUAGGCCUAACACAUGCAAGUCGAACGGCAGCACAGGAGAGCUUGCUCUCUGGGUGGCGAGUGGCGGACGGGUGAGGAAUACAUCGGAAUCUACUUUUUCGUGGGGGAUAACGUAGGGAAACUUACGCUAAUACCGCAUACGACCUACGGGUGAAAGCAGGGGAUCUUCGGACCUUGCGCGAUUGAAUGAGCCGAUGUCGGAUUAGCUAGUUGGCGGGAUAAAGGCCCACCAAGGCGACGAUCCGUAGCUGGUCUGAGAGGAUGAUCAGCCACACUGGAACUGAGACACGGUCCAGACUCCUACGGGAGGCAGCAGUGGGGAAUAUUGGACAAUGGGCGCAAGCCUGAUCCAGCCAUACCGCGUGGGUGAAGAGGGCCUUCGGGUUGUAAAGCCCUUUUGUUGGGAAAGAAAUCCAGCUGGUUAAUACCCGGUUGGGAUGACGGUACCCAAAGAAUAAGCACCGGCUAACUUCGUGCCAGCCGCCGCAGUAA
rnacentral:rRNA from 1 species